rnacentral:rRNA from 1 species
AUUGAACGCUGGCGGCAGGCCUAACACAUGCAAGUCGAGCGGUUGACGGGAGCUUGCUCCCUGAUUCAGCGGCGGACGGGUGAGUAAUGCCUAGGAAUCUGCCUAUUAGUGGGGGACAACGUUUCGAAAGGAACGCUAAUACCGCAUACGUCCUACGGGAGAAAGCAGGGGACCUUCGGGCCUUGCGCUAUCAGAUGAGCCUAGGUCGGAUUAGCUAGUAGGUGAGGUAAUGGCUCACCUAGGCGACGAUCCGUAACUGGUCUGAGAGGAUGAUCAGUCACACUGGAACUGAGACACGGUCCAGACUCCUACGGGAGGCAGCAGUGGGGAAUAUUGGACAAUGGGCGAAAGCCUGAUCCAGCCAUGCCGCGUGUGUGAAGAAGGUCUUCGGAUUGUAAAGCACUUUAAGUUGGGAGGAAGGGCAGUAAGUUAAUACCUUGCUGUUUUGACGUUACCGACAGAAUAAGCACCGGCUAACUACGUGCCAGCCGCCGCCGUAAUAC